ensembl:snoRNA Snora47 small nucleolar RNA, H/ACA box 47
UGGAGGACUGAGAAGGUGGGGCAGUUCCAUACCAUGCUGCCUUCCAUUGGUUAAGACCUCCGACAGCAAAGGGCUGACCAGGCAAAGGAUGUCCCUCUCCAGCACCUUGGAGGGGCAGCACUGUGCUGGCCCACAUCUC